UACGUAGGGAGCGGGCGUUAUCCGGAUUUAUUGGGUUUAAAGGGUGCGUAGGCGGCUUUUUAAGUCAGCGGUGAAAUUUUGCAGCUUAACUGUAACAGUGCCGUUGAUACUGGGGAGCUAGGAUUUGGUUGCUGUGGGUGGAAUGUGUGGUGUAGCGGUGAAAUGCUUAGAGAUCACACAGAAUAUCGAUUGCGAAGGCAGCUCACAAAGCCAAGAUUGACGCUGAGGCACGAAAGUGUGGGGAUCAAACAGGAUUAGAUA
rnacentral:rRNA from 1 species